rnacentral:hammerhead_ribozyme from 1 species
AUCCAGAUGAUGAGUCCCAAAUAGGACGAAAUUAGCAUUGUUCUGGAU